UUGACAUUCAGGGAUGUGGCCAUAGAGUUCUCUCAGGAGGAGUGGGAGUGCCUGGACCCCGCUCAGAGGGCCUGGUACAGGGACGUGAUGUUGGAGAACUACAGGACCCUGGUCUCCCUGGGUGAGGAUAGUUUCCCUGCAGAGGUUGGGAACUGUUCUAGGCUACCUUUGUGUUUCUUUUGGGAGGCGCUUGAGAGUCCCUGCCCUGUUUGACUGAGAGUGAAGCCCUGUUGAUCCAGAAAUGAAAAGCUUCACAACGAGGUGUCUGGAUUUGAAGUGCCCCCUUUCUUCCGAUGAUGUGCUCACUACAUGCAGGUUAGUGGUGGCGCUAGAAGUUGGGAAGACACAAGACUUUAUGUCAAAACUUUAUAAUAUCAGAUUGCCUGGUUUUACUCCUGUACUCUUGAUUCAGUAGUUCUGGGAAGAGAGCUGGAUAUCUGUAUUUGUCAAACAUUCAAGCAUUUGGAAGAUGUAGGUCCGUCGCUGAACAAGUCUGUGAAAUGCUAUUCACAACCCGCCUGUGUUGAAUGUCCUUGGUCUCAGCUGUCCAGGGACUGGGAUUAGUUUAUGGAAAAGCUGCAGGGCAUCAUCUACCAGUUUCCAUGUCAGCAAGACCCUCUUUCUGAGCUGAAUAUCGUCUCCACUGUGGAGGAAGGAAGAGCCUUGCACGGCCAGGAGUGGGGUGAAACUAGCGGCAAAACCCAGAUAAGGCUACUAGAUGUGUGGGCAAAGAAUUACCACCAAAAGACUACAUUAAUAAUGGAGAAUUACUGCAAACGUUGACUUUUGAAAGAGACCUAAGUCAUGACUUUGAUGACUUUGAUUUGAAGAAAGACCAGCAAGAUGUGAACAAACUUGAGACUCCGUGGAUUUAUGAAGAAAAAUAUUAUGAAGGAAUAACUACAUCCCAUUAUAAAAAUCUCACCUGUAGAGAAGACCAACAACAUCCUAAAUUCUGGAAUAAUUUCCCUGUAAAGCACAGUGUUUCCAUAAGAAGAAGUACAU
rnacentral:lncRNA from 1 species